GAUGAACGCUGACAGAAUGCUUAACACAUGCAAGUCAACUUGAACUUCGGUUUGGGUGGCGGACGGGUGAGUAACGCGUAAAGAACUUGCCUCACAGCUAGGGACAACAUUUGGAAACGAAUGCUAAUACCUGAUAUUAUGAUUUUAGGGCAUCCUAGAAUUAUGAAAGCUACAUGCACUGUGAGAGAGCUUUGCGUCCCAUUAGCUAGUUGGAGAGGUAACGGCUCACCAAGGCGAUGAUGGGUAGCCGGCCUGAGAGGGUGAUCGGCCACAAGGGGACUGAGACACGGCCCUUACUCCUACGGGAGGCAGCAGUGGGGAAUAUUGGACAAUGGACCAAGAGUCUGAUCCAGCAAUUCUGUGUGCACGAUGAAGUUUUUCGGAAUGUAAAGUGCUUUCAGUUGGGAAGAAAAAAAUGACGGUACCAACAGAAGAAGUGACGGCUAAAUACGUGCCAGCAGCCGCGGUAAUACGUAUGUCACAAGCGUUAUCCGGAUUUAUUGGGCGUAAAGCGCGUCUAGGUGGUUAUGUAAGUCUGAUGUGAAAAUGCAGGGCUCAACUCUGUAUUGCGUUGGAAACUGUGUAACUAGAGUACUGGAGAGGUAAGCGGAACUACAAGUGUAGAGGUGAAAUUCGUAGAUAUUUGUAGGAAUGCCGAUGGGGAAGCCAGCUUACUGGACAGAUACUGACGCUGAAGCGCGAAAGCGUGGGUAGCAAACAGG
rnacentral:rRNA from 1 species